CAAAACUAAGAAUGAAAACCCUCCAAAUACAUUCCUCCUCCUCCCCUCCAUUUUCUCCACAGAAUGAAAUAACACCAUAGAUUUCCACCACGUCACCAUCUCUCACAUAAUCAACUUUCAGUACAUCAUCACCCCUCAAAUAAUCCACCCUCAAGCCCAUCAAGGAGAGAGGAGUCCCCCCUUGCACCAUAGGCUUCCCCUGGAAACACAAUUGAAACCUCUUGUGCUUCCGUGUCACUCGUGGCACCGCCCAGAGAACAUCGGCCCUUGUGACUUCUUCCCUCCAUGUCCAGUGCUCUCACCACUGCACAUGGGCCAGGACUGAUUUAGGGUUCCCCGUUUAAGGAUGCUCCACCCAGUUUCAAAAGCAGCAGUCUCUCAACUUUGGGACACCAGUCCCCCCCAAAUUUACCCCCUGGGACCGAGGGGCCUCAUGAACAGAGAUCUCCCUCUCCACGGAGACAGAGGGCAUCUCACACCCUUCUCAGCCAUCUCUGUUCUCACCACUGCUUCACUCUUGACUCCAAGGUUUAAAGAAAGUGCAAUUUUCACUGUUACCAGUCCUAUGGAAAAGAGUCACACCCCUGUUUCUUAAAGAAAAAUGUACCUUUUAUCCCUCAAAUUUGUCAGGUCAAGGAAGAGAUGUAACAGGAAACUCAGCAGUCUUUGAAGUCAAACUAGAUAGAUCAGAAGUAGAUUGAUCUGCAAGAGAAAGCAAGGAAGGAAAAUAAGAAGAAAAAUAAGUGUUUGCAUCCUAAUUUUUGAGCCUGUUUAAAUCGAAGGACACCAGAGAACUUUUGUCCAGGGAACCUCACUACUGAUCAUUACACUGCUGACCAAAAAUACUUCUGCUUUAGAAUAAAAUGAAUAGUUGUCUGUGUUGACUAAAAGGCUGCAGUCAGCUUGCCUGCUGAGAGUCUACUUCCGUUUUAGGUGACCAAGUG